GACGAACGCUGGCGGCGUGCCUAAUACAUGCAAGUCGAACGAACCGCGACUGAGUGCUUGCACUUGGUCAAGGUGAGUGGCGAACGGGUGAGUAACACGUGGGUAACCUACCUCAUAGUGGGGGAUAACAGUCGGAAACGACUGCUAAUACCGCAUAGGACAUGGAAUCACAUGAUUCUGUGAGGAAAGGUGGCGCAAGCUAUCGCUAAGAGAUGGACCCGCGGUGCAUUAGCUAGUUGGUAGGGUAAGGGCCUACCAAGGCGAUGAUGCAUAGCCGACCUGAGAGGGUGAUCGGCCACAUUGGGACUGAGACACGGCCCAAACUCCUACGGGAGGCAGCAGUAGGGAAUCUUCCGCAAUGGACGCAAGUCUGACGGAGCAACGCCGCGUGAGUGAAGAAGGUCUUCGGAUCGUAAAGCUCUGUUGUUAGAGAAGAACAGCGCAUAGAGUAACUGUUAUGCGUGUGACGGUAUCUAACCAGAAAGCCACGGCUAACUACGUGCCGGCAGCCGCGGUAAUACGUAGGUGGCGAGCGUUGUCCGGAUUUAUUGGGCGUAAAGGGAGUGUAGGCGGUCUUUUAAGUCUGAUGUGAAAGCCCACGGCUCAACCGUGGAGGGUCAUUGGAAACUGGGAGACUUGAGUGCAGAAGAGGAGAGCGGAAUUCCAUGUGUAGCGGUGAAAUGCGUAGAUAUAUGGAGGAACACCAGUGGCGAAGGCGGCUCUCUGGUCUGUAACUGACGCUGAGGCUCGAAAGCGUGGGGAGCAAACAGG
rnacentral:rRNA from 1 species